CUUUCCUGGUCGCCCAGUUAGCACAAACAAUGACAUAGUCGUAAUCAUCAGGUAAAAUUAUAGAAUCCAUUAUAACUUGUGUAUUUUUUGUACUUUCGUAAUUCAUUUAAAUCGAUUUAUAAGAUUUGUAAGUCGAGCACUUUUACCACAGGAAUCGAAAGUGACAAAGAGUAAAGUACCACACACCUCACUGGUUACCUCUCACAGGCACAUAAAUCUGACCAGAGUUUUACUAGUGAUGUGUAUCCUUGAUCUUUAUUAUUUUUCUUAUAAACCAGUGGGUAAAACUUCCUUUUUGCCCCUCCCCCUAUUCAUAUUUGUCUGUACUUAUUCCGUCUACAGAGGGGGAUCAAACGGAUUUCCCUAAUUCUUCCAGGCAAACAUUUGGAUGAAAUGUAUGCCACUGGAAGCAAACUAGAUCACCUCAUCGGCUUGUAUUUUUAAUCUUAUUAUUUAAUUUUUUUUCUAAUCAGUAGACUUUUUUGUCGCCAGAUUAUAACAAAUAAACGAUCACAUUUUAACAAAACGACUGCAUUGAAAUGUUCAAAAUAAUUCAAAAGGAUCUAUGAACAUAUAAAUUGGUGUUCUGGCUUUGUAGAUUAAUUCAUUCAGAAUAGCCUUGCAUAUAUAUAUAUGUAACAAUAACAUCUUCAUGCCUUAUAUAUAUCUGUAGUACGCCGCUAGAUUAAAACUGACGAGGAAAGGAACACACGGCCAGCGAAAGCUCUUUUUUUGAGAGCCCAGGGUCGUGGUUAGCGGGACGGCUGCAGUGCAGGCGAUUUGGUGUCACGAUAUACAGUAGCAUGGGUUUCGAAUCCGGCGAGGGAAGAACCAAAAAUUUGCGAAAGCAAAUUUACUGAUCUAACAUUGUUGGGGUUGAUGUUUAGACGAGUUGUUAUACAUUUGCACACAGCAUGUAUCACCAUCAUUGAUGGCGAUUCGAUGGAUAAUCUGUUGUAGAGUGUCACUGACUGAGACGUACUUAUAUAUAUAUAUAUAUAUACAACUCGUCUAAAUAUAUAUAUAUAUAUAUAUCAACAAAUUGUCCUUAUCGUACUAAUUCUUCCAAGCUUAACAUACUAGAUUGACAUAAUCUUUUGUGAGAUACCGUUCUUUUAACAUGCGAACAGCCUUUUGUAUUUGAAAUUUUAACUUGUUUUAUUUUUUAUCUAUUUAUGUAUAUGCACAGUAUGAAAGGCCAAUAAACCUCAAAACAACUACUACAACUACUCUGCUCAUUGUUUUAAGUAAUAUUAAUUUUUUUGCUAUUAAGAUAUUAUCUUUUAUGCCCAACCUACGAUAGUAGAGGGGCAUUAUGUUUUCUGGUCUGUGGGUCCGUUCGUUCGUCUGUCUAAUUUCAAGUUAAAGUUUAUGGUGAAGGUAGUCUUUGAAGAAGUUGUAGUCCAAUGAACUUUAAACUUAGUACACAUGUUCCCUAUGAUAUGAUAUUUCUAAUUUUAAUGCCAAAUGAGAGUUUUUACCCCGAUUUCACGGUCUAUUCAUCAUAGAAAAUUAUAGCGCAAGUGGGGCAUCCGUGUACUUUGAACACAUUCUUGUUCUACAUGUAUUCUAUAUAUUCUAUAUAUCAAAUUCUAAAUAUCGUCAUGCUAUACAAGCGGCAGUUAGCAACGUUUAUAUGCAUUCAAUCUUGCUAAAUUCCCGACAUUAUCUUUCACUUUUAAGGUCUAUUCAAUAAACAUUACUGACAUUAUAUAAUAAGUUGUCUUUCUAAAACAAAAUAAAUCACUUUUUAACGACUAUUAAUUUUAACGAAGUCUAUUCAAAUACACAAAAUUGUCCGGUAGUAGUUCACUUGUAUAGUAGUCUAGUUUUAAUAUUUUCUCGAGCUCGCGGAGAUGCAUCUCAUUUUGGUGUCAAAUUCUUGUCCAUGCCUCAGUUGAUAAGUCUUUAUAAAUCUCUCCUCAUCACCAUGUUGUUGUAAACUUUUACUAAACUUAGUGUUUAUAGAUUCAGAACUUUUCAAAGUUGCUUUCCAUUGCGAGGUGAAAGAUCAAAAUCAUUUCAAGUUACAAGUCCAGAUAGCAAGUAUCCAAUUGUUGAAACAACGGCUGUAGGUCCGUUGCCUCUGAUCACGUGAUCUAGGACUUUAUCUCAAUAAUGGUCUGCAACAAUCAAGAGUGACAUCUAAACGCUAUCCUCAUUGCUAUGUUUCUCAUAGAACACUGAUGCUAUAACUGUUUUAAGCAAUACCUUUUUGUUUUAUUGUGAGGUAUAAAUAACGGCAGUUUCUGGUUCUUCUGUUUUUACCAAGUUAACAACGGUUGGUUUCUCCGUGUUUUCCUGUCUUUUUUCAACUGUGACGUGUCCUCCACUUAAACUGGUGUGAUGUUUUUGAUUCUUUUCUUACAUCCCUUUCAAUGCAAACUGUGCACGUUUAAAUGACACAAAAUAUCUAUUCAUAUACUGCACUGGUAUACAUUUAAUUUUCACGAUGAAUUCACGAAAAUCUCUAUUGUUAGUGCAAGCAUGGAUAUCGUAAAAUAAAAUGCAUUUUAACUGGCUAGGAAAUCACGAUGUUUCCGAUCCUAAAUCAGAUGAAUUUUCACUUCUUUUGUAAUGUCUUUUUCUCGGGUUAUAAAGGUUUAUAUGAUCGCUAUCAUAUUCGCGGGCAAUUUGUUACCUUACUUCGUUAUUAUAAUAGGUAUUGAUACCGCCUUACAUGUCUUGUGUUUGACCCAAACAUUCUAUAUUUUUAUGUUUUACUCUAGGUAGUCUCCAUAACUGUUUAAACUGUUCAAAUCGAUUAGCGGCGAAGGAAGAUCCAUUAAAGCUUUGAUGGUGUGUUUAUAUUUUUCUUGGGUGUCAAAAUCUCUUACAGUUGUAACGGCAUUUGCUAGUGUAAGCGCAGAUUCUGAAAUGGUUUGUGCGGCGGUUCCUUAAAGCUAGGCUUUGGCACAACAGAAUCGUAUUGGUAUAUAAGGUAACUGCUGAAUUGUAUAGUAGAUUCGUCUCAAAAUGCUCCAUUGCUAAAGAUCAAGGUCAAUAUGUGGCAAAUAUAUUAUUUUAUGUGUUUAUUACUAAAUAUAUAAGGUUGUUUGGCUAGGUGUGUUUUAUACGAAAAAACACGAAGACUAUUGUAUGUGUGUGUUACUCUGGUCAGGAAAGUUGCAUGCAUGAUUUCAAGUAUGAUUUUCUUUCGAUGGAAUACCAUCUCUAGUGUUUAGUGAGUGAACGGCUGAUGUUAUUGUAUAACAAGUAUGUAUAUAGCAUUCAUCGUUAGCGUUUAUUUUUGACUGAACUUGUUUCCGUUGUUCCUUUGUUUUCUUCUUAUAAUUAUUAUAAUUUCCUUUGGUUUGAGCGGAUUAUGUAAAAUGUGAAGAGUCAAAAAUUAGUUUUAUGGUUCAAUAAAAUCAAAAUAAAUUAUUGCCAUUCAUUAUAAAUAAAUUUCUAUCAAAAAUAAGGCUCAAAGAACUAUAUUAUUUAUAUUAACAAUAACAACGUACACACAUGUUGGCGUAUAAAUACACAACGUCAGAGUGCGUUGUCGCCAUUAAAAUGAAACAUUGAAAAUAAAACUAAUAAUUUUAACCAAUCAGAAUACAGUAAAAACAUCAAAUUUUUUUAUUAAAAAAAUAACAUAUAAUUCUUAGAAAUACAACUGAUGACAACAGUUUUUGAAACUAGCUACCACUACAAUUUUUGAUGCGUUUUGUUAUUUGAUUUUGCCAUGUGAUUAUGGACUUUCCGAAUUGAUUUUCCUCUGAGUUCAGUAUUUUUGUGAUUUUACUUUUUAAUGCUAUACCGGUAUUAAAUGAGAACUAUGCAUAGAUGAUUAACGUUAGAAAUUCAAAGCGAUGAUUUCCUAUGAUACAAUGAAAUGACAACUUUGUGCUCUGAUAAUAAUGUUUUAUUUUUAGGGUGAGCUUUCUCUGUUGUAUUAUGGCGACUUCAUCUUUAAAUUGUAAUGUUUGUGAACUCCGCCAUACUUCCAAGCUUUCCGUUAUCUGGUGUACUGAAUGUGAUGAAGGACUUUGCGAAGGCUGCAAGGAACACCACAGUUUAUCUAAAGGAUCUCGAAAUCAUACGGUCAUACCAAUUUCCGAAUAUCAUAAAUUACCCAGUGAUGUUAUCAAGAUAUCUCAGUUCUGUGACGAACACAAUGAAAAAUACACCAUUUACUGCAAGAAGCACGAAUGCCCUUGUUGUAGCAACUGUAUUGUACAAAGUCACAACAGAUGCGAUGAAAUCGUGAAACUAGAUGACGUCAUUCAUAACGCCAAGACAUCAAAUGCGUUUUACGAAAUUGAGCAGACUUUGUCAGAAGUAUCCGAAAAUAUUGAAAUAAUCAGAAAAAAACGACAAAACAACCUAGACACAUUAUUGGAGACCAGGAAGCAGGUUGAGAAGGAAAUCCAAAAGACCCGAAUAGCGAUCAAUGAUCAUAUCGACAAAUUACAAGCAGAUGUAAUAAAGGAGCUAUAUGCAUUGGAAGACAAGGAGAGUAAGAAAAUCCGUCAACUGCUUAAUUCAUUAGAGGAAAAACAGCAAGAGAUUGCGAUAUUACAGGGGAACAUGUCAGAUAUGAAACAGCAUGCGUCUGAUCUUCAAACAUUUUUGUCAAUGAAACGAAUCGAAAAGGAGGUCACUGGCAAAGAUGAAUACAUCAGGUCAAUAUCAUGUAAGGAAAAUUUGAAAAACAUCGUUCUGUCAUUUAAUAUCAACACUGCUGUUCAAAAUCUUAUUUCUGGGAUCUCAAAUUUCGGAAAGAUCAUGGUUGAAAGUAUACUGUCUGGCAUUGAGAUUACCACGAGAAAGCAAAAGCAAGCUCAAAUAAUGGUAACAAAAGUACCAUCAAGAUCGUUUGAAAAUAUUAAUCUAAAACUGCAGAAGACAAUGAGCAUGAGUAAAGACGCAGAAAUUUUUGGUACAUAUCUGCUAUCUGAUGGAAGGAUGGUUUUUUGCAAGAGUUUCUUAUUGACCAAUAGUAUAAUGGUUCUGAACGCAAAUGGAUCACUGGAUUUUGAAGUAGAAUUACCAUCAUCAUCCUUUGAUGUAGCAUACAUCACAGAAGACAAUACAUUGGCUGUAUCAGCUGGUGGUUAUAUGUCCACGUAUAUAUAUAUCAUUGACAUGCAAAACAAAAAAAUCAAGAAACCUAUUUCUGUAAUUGGAUGGAUCUAUGGAAUAACAUAUCAUGAAUCGAGAUUAAUUUAUUCUGAGAAGAAUAAAGGAAUUCGAAUGAUCAAUCCAAAUGACAAGACCAUAAGCGAUGUAGUCAGAGAGGAAAUGCCAGCUCACUGCUACGUUGCAGCAUUUGGUGACAAACUAUUCGCUACAAAUCCGAACACGAACACCGUUAAAUGUUAUGAUCUCCAAGGUAAAAUUCAAUGGACAUUUCAAGACAGAAACGUUUUGAAGACACCCGCUGGCAUCUCCGUAGAUAUUAAUGGUAAUAUAUACGUAGUAGGACGUAGAUCAAACAAUCUUAUAAUGAUAUCUCCUGAUGGAAAACAACACCGACAACUUUUAUCUGCAAACGAAGGGCUCUCUGAACCCAGGUCCGUUCAUUUAAGUAAGGAAAGAAACAUGCUGAUUGUUGCGAAUAUAAGAGGAAAAGCAUUCCUAUACUCUGUAAACUGACACAUCUUCAGUUAGCUUCUUCGGACAUAGAUUAUGUAAACAUAUAUCAAUAAAUCUGUUAACCUAUCGUAUCGGGUAAAUUUCGCAUAUUUCCGAGGAUAAAACAAAAUCGCUAAAAUAUUUCCUCCAAUUUAAAAGUGCACAUGCAAAGGUAUUAAUAAAAAUUUUGAAACUGCCAAAAUAAUUUGUAUUAAAAAUCGCGAGAUUUUACACCCGCGACAAUAACCCACUAUACGGUAUUUCUGGUUGACAAAAA
rnacentral:lncRNA from 1 species